CUAACCGUGCGAAGGUAGCAUAAUCACUUGUUCUUUAAAUGAGGACUAGUAUCAACGGCAUCACGAGGGUUAAACUGUCUCCUUUUUCAUAUCAGUGAAAUUAACCCCCCCGUGAAGAAGCGGGGAUAAUUAUAUAAGACGAGAAGACCCCAUGGAGCUUUAAACCCAACUAUACUCUUUUUAAUUCCACCUCUAAAUUUCUAGGACUCUAUAUGUUUGGUUUUAGGUUGGGGUGACCGCGGAGCAUAAACUAGCCUCCACAAUGAAUUAGACCUCCUCUUUAUCCAAGACUAACUUAUCUAAGAAUUAGUAAUCUAACAUAAAAUGAUCCGAUAUUCGAUCAACGAACCAAGUUACCCUGGGGAUAACAGCGCAAUCUACUUCAAGAGCUCCUAUCGACAAGUGGGUUUACGACCUCGAUGUUGGAUCAGGGUAUCCUAGUGGUGCAGCAGCUACUAAAGGUUCGUUUGUUCAACGAUUAAAACCCUACGUGAUCU
rnacentral:rRNA from 1 species